AGCAGCCGCGGUAAUUCCAGCUCCAAUAGCGUAUAUUAAAGUUGUUGCAGUUAAAAAGCUCGUAGUUGAAUUUCGGGGUCAGUAGGUCGGUCGUGCCACUGGUAUGAACUGGUUUUACUGAUUCCUCCCUCUUGAAGAACUGUAAUGCCAUUAAUUUGGUGUUGCAGGGAAUCAGGACUGUUACUUUGAAAAAAUUAGAGUGUUUAAAGCAGGCUUUAGCUUGAAUACAUUAGCAUGGAAUAAUGAAAUAGGACGUUUGAUCCUAUUUUGUUGGUUUCUAGGAUUGACGUAAUGAUUAAUAGGGAUAGUUGGGGGCAUUAGUAUUCAAUUGUCAGAGGUGAAAUUCUUGGAUUUAUUGAAGACUAACUACUGCGAAAGCAUUUGCCAAGGAUGUUUUCAUUAAUCAAGAACGAAAGUUAGGGGAUCGAAGACGAUCAGAUACCGUCGUAGUCUUAACCAUAAACUAUGCCCGACUAGGGAUCGGAUGAUGUUAAUUUUUUAAUGACUCA
rnacentral:rRNA from 1 species